UCCACGGUUUUACUAAAAACCACUUCCAGAAACAACAUGAUAAAU
rfam:Corvus brachyrhynchos isolate BGI_N302 unplaced genomic scaffold scaffold99, whole genome shotgun sequence.